CCUACGGGAGGCUGCAGUGGGGAAUAUUGCACAAUGGGCGCAAGCCUGAUGCAGCCAUGCCGCGUGUGUGAAGAAGGCCUUCGGGUUGUAAAGCACUUUCAGCGGGGAGGAAGGCGGUGAGGUUAAUAACCUCAUCGAUUGACGUUACCCGCAGAAGAAGCACCGGCUAACUCCGUGCCAGCAGCCGCGGUAAUACGGAGGGUGCAAGCGUUAAUCGGAAUUACUGGGCGUAAAGCGCACGCAGGCGGUCUGUCAAGUCGGAUGUGAAAUCCCCGGGCUCAACCUGGGAACUGCAUUCGAAACUGGCAGGCUAGAGUCUUGUAGAGGGGGGUAGAAUUCCAGGUGUAGCGGUGAAAUGCGUAGAGAUCUGGAGGAAUACCGGUGGCGAAGGCGGCCCCCUGGACAAAGACUGACGCUCAGGUGCGAAAGCGCGGGGAGCAAACAGGAUUAGAUACCCCGGUAGUC
rnacentral:rRNA from 1 species